rnacentral:rRNA from 1 species
AUACGAAAGGUGCAAGCGUUGUUCGGAUUUACUGGGCGUAAAGAGAGUGUAGGUGGUUUAUUAAGUCGGAUGUGAAAUCCCGGGGCUCAACCUCGGAACUGCAUUCGAUACUGAUAGGCUAGAGUUUGGGAGGGGUAAGCGGAAUUCCGUGUGUAGCAGUGAAAUGCGUAGAUAUACGGAGGAACACCUGAGGCGAAGGCGGCUUACUGGACCAAUACUGACACUGAGACUCGAAAGCGUGGGUAGCGAACAGGAUUAGAUACCCUAGUAGUCC